UACGGAGGGGGCUAGCGUUGUUCGGAAUUACUGGGCGUAAAGCGCACGUAGGCGGCUUUGUAAGUUAGAGGUGAAAGCCCGGGGCUCAACUCCGGAAUUGCCUUUAAGACUGCAUCGCUAGAAUUGUGGAGAGGUAAGUGGAAUUCCGAGUGUAGAGGUGAAAUUCGUAGAUAUUCGGAAGAACGCCAGUGGCGAAGGCGACUUACUGGACACAUAUUGACGCUGAGGUGCGAAAGCGUGGGGAGCAAACAGG
rnacentral:rRNA from 1 species